UACGUAGGUGGCAAGCGUUGUUCGGAAUUACUGGGCGUAAAGCGCGCGUAGGCGGCUCUUCAAGUCAGGCGUGAAAGCCCCGGGCUUAACUCGGGAACUGCGCUUGAUACUGUCGAGCUAGAGUGUGGAAGGGGCGAUUGGAAUUCCGUGUGUAGCGGUGAAAUGCGUAGAUAUACGGAGGAACACCAGAGGCGAAGGCGGAUCGCUGGGCCAACACUGACGCUGAUGUGCGAAAGCUAGGGGAGCGAACAGG
rnacentral:rRNA from 1 species